rnacentral:rRNA from 1 species
CUAAGCCAUGCGAGUCGAGAGGGUUCGGCCCUCGGCGGACUGCUCAGUAACACGUGGAUAAUUUGCCCUUAGGUGGAGGAUAAUCUCGGGAAACUGAGAAUAAUACUCCAUAGAUCUAGGAUGCUGGAAUGCACUUAGAUUGAAAGUUCCGGCGCCUAAGGAUAAGUCUGCGGACUAUCAGGUUGUAGUCAGGGUAAAGACCUGACUAGCCUACAACGGAUACGGGUUGUGAGAGCAAUAACCCGGAGACGAUAUCUGAGACACGAUAUCGGGCCCUACGGGGCGCAGCAGGCGCGAAACCUUCACACUGCGCGAAAGCGCGAUAAGGGGAUCCCAAGUGCCAGCUCGUAAGAGUUGGCUGUUUCUCUGUCUAAAAAGCAGAGAGAGUAAGGGCUGGGUAAGACGGGUGCCAGCCGCCGCGGUAA